rnacentral:rRNA from 1 species
UACGGAGGGAGCUAGCGUUAUUCGGAAUUACUGGGCGUAAAGCGCACGUAGGCGGCUUUGUAAGUAAGAGGUGAAAGCCCAGAGCUCAACUCUGGAAUUGCCUUUUAGACUGCAUCGCUUGAAUCAUGGAGAGGUCAGUGGAAUUCCGAGUGUAGAGGUGAAAUUCGUAGAUAUUCGGAAGAACACCAGUGGCGAAGGCGGCUCACUGGACCGGCAUUGACGCUGAGGUGCGAAAGCGUGGGGAGCAAACAGG